CUUGCACUGAGCUACUACAAGGACGUCAGACAGGAAGUCUGCCCUGCUUGUUGCCAAUGGCCUGAAAUCAUUUAAGGAUAGUUUAAGGAUCUCAGAGCAGUGGAAUUGGGAAACACCUGCAAGUCAGUGGACAUUAUAGGACUUCGCUGACGUCCAUGAGCAUGUUCUCAAUUCUCUGCUAUCCUGCCCAUCCUUGGAGCACUGAACACUGCGUACCCCAUGCCUACUGUGACACUCCCACAACUCCUGAUCUCGCUGCUUGGUAGAGCCUGCAACAUACGUCCUAACUCAGCUAAAGGUAAUGGUAUUUAGCAGAUGCUUUUAUCCAAAGCAACAUACGGACAACCAGCAACGAUCGGGAAUCGGGUCAGAUCCCUAACCACUGCGCCUCAUUCCUAUAGCGCUCAGAUCCCUAACCACUGCGCCUCAUUUCUAUAGCGUUCAGGCUGAGAUCCCUAACCACUGCGCCUCAUUUCUAUAGCGCUCAGAUCCCUAACCACUGCGCCUCAUUUCUAUAGCGCUCAGAUCCCUAACCACUGCGCCUCAUUUCUAUAGCGCUCAGAUCCCUAACCACUGCGCCUCAUUUCUAUAGCGCUCAGGUUCAGAUCCCUAACCCAGUGCAC
ensembl:lncRNA